UACGGGGGGAGCAAGCGUUGUUCGGAUUUACUGGGCGUAAAGGGCGCGUAGGCGGUCAGCACAAGUCAGUUGUGAAAUCUCCGGGCUUAACUCGGAAAGGUCAACUGAUACUGUGCGACUAGAGUGCGGAAGGGGCAACUGGAAUUCUUGGUGUAGCGGUGAAAUGCGUAGAUAUCCUAAGGAACACCGGUGGCGAAGGCGGCAUCCUGGACCGGUAUUGACGCUGAGGCGCGAAAGCCAGGGGAGCAAAGCGGG
rnacentral:rRNA from 1 species